rnacentral:rRNA from 1 species
CACGCGCCGCCGACGUCGGGCGAGCCGUCGUGAAGCACGACGUCGAAGGCGGUGACCCCCUUGGAGUCCAUGAGCCUCCGCACGGCGGAGCGGCACUUGGUGGUGGUGAUGUCCUCCGUGAGGGAGUGCGCGUCGCGGAUGGGGCGGACGGGCACGAGGUCGACGCCGACGACAAAGGCGCCGGCGGGGGCACGGGCGACGGCCACCUGCAUUCAGCCACCCGGCGCCGCGCAGAGGUCGAGCACGGCAUGCGCCGCAGACGGGGAGGAUGGGCAUGAGGUCGACGCCGCCGACGAAGGCGCCGGCGGUGGCACGGAUGACGGCCACCUGCAUCCAGCCUCCCGGGGCCGCGGACGGGGCGGAUGGGCACGAGGUCGACGCCGAUGA